rnacentral:rRNA from 1 species
AGCGAACGCUGGCGGCAGGCCUAACACAUGCAAGUCGAACGGACCCUUCGGGGUUGGUGGCGGACGGGUGAGUAACACGUGGGAACGUGCCUUUAGGUUCGGAAUAGCUCCUGGAAACGGGUGGUAAUGCCGAAUGUGCCCUUCGGGGGAAAGAUUUAUCGCCUUUAGAGCGGCCCGCGUCUGAUUAGCUAGUUGGUGAGGUAACGGCUCACCAAGGCGACGAUCAGUAGCUGGUCUGAGAGGAUGACCAGCCACACUGGGACUGAGACACGGCCCAGACUCCUACGGGAGGCAGCAGUGGGGAAUCUUGCGCAAUGGGCGAAAGCCUGACGCAGCCAUGCCGCGUGAAUGAUGAAGGUCUUAGGAUUGUAAAAUUCUUUCACCGGGGACGAUAAUGACGGUACCCGGAGAAGAAGCCCCGGCUAACUUCGUG